GGGCCCGCACAAGCGGUGGAUCAUGUUGUUUAAUUCGAAGAUACGCGAAAAACCUUACCAGGUCUUGACAUCCCUUGCAAUGCUGUAGAGAUACAGUGGAGGUUAUCAAGGAGACAGGUGGUGCAUGGUUGUCGUCAGCUCGUGUCGUGAGAUGUUGGGUUAAGUCCCGCAACGAGCGCAACCCUUAUUGCUAGUUGCCAUCAUUUAGUUGGGGACUCUAGCGAGACUGCCAGUGAUAAACUGGAGGAAGGUGGGGAUGACGUCAAAUCAUCAUGCCCCUUAUGACCUGGGCUACAAACGUGAUACAAUGGCUAUUACAGAGGGCCGCAAAGCUGUGAAGUGAAGCUAAACCCUUAAAAAUAGUCUCAGUUCGGAUUGAAGUCUGCAACUCGACUUCAUGAAGCCGGAAUCGCUAG
rnacentral:rRNA from 1 species